UACAAAUUGACGUCAUCUUUUAUGCUGCUGGCAGAAUAGUGUGUCUGAUGUAACCUCGCGUCUCAAAAGUAGCGGUCAUCUGAAUGAACAACCAAGUAACAAGAUAAUUUAUUUACUGUUCGAGAUGGCCAUCAUUCGUAUGUUGUUCUCUUUCCUGAACAAUCCACGAGUCAUUGAGAAACUAGCGGAGUCUCGUCCUAUCAGACGUGCGGCACAGAUCGCAGCUUUUGCGAUCAUCAAAGCGCAGAUCGCAGGGAGGGGCGCAACAGCGACAGUUCUGAAGUCAGACACACUACGCCAGCUUCGGCAAGAGGCAAACGACCGGAUUCCCCGAGACGUUGGUGACAUCGGGACCCGGUUCAGAAGAGUGAGGGAGACUUUUGUCAAGGAGGUGAAAGAUGGCUUCAGAGACGCUCAGGGACAAAUAAAGAAAUAAAGAAAUGAAUGUGAAAUAAAAUUCCUGUGAUAGAACUCCCACAGCGUAUGUCUGCUUGACAGACAAACAAUCAUGUGAACUGUUGAUAACGUGACCGACAACAUGACCCGUCCCACAACUGUCUAGGUCGACCACUCUUUCAUCACUGAGCCAAUCUUUUAAUAUAUUGAAGGGAACACUAAGCAACUGGUAAACCAGCUACCAUGUCUCAAAACAUACUCAAGAUGAAUUUCCCAUCAGGGAGAUGUCAGCAUGUAAUGAAUCAGGGGUGCAACUUUCACUGGUGGGGGGGCAUGUCCCCCCUCACAUUCUGAAAUGGCAUUUUUGUCCCUCCCCCCAGUUUUAUAUUUGGAAUGUGAUACAAAACAAGGCAACAGGUCUGGGUUUGUGAUGGAUUAGCCUACUGUAACAGGUCUGGGUUUGUGAUGGAUUAGCCUACUGUAACAGGUCUGGGAUGGAUUAGCCUACUGUAACAGGUCUGGGAUGGAUUAGCCUACUGUAACAGGUCUGGGUUUGUGAUGGAUUAGCCUACUGUAACAGGUCUGGGAUGGAUUAGCCUACUGUAACAGGUCUGGGUUUGUAAUGGAUUAGCCUACUGUAACAGGUCUGGGUUUGUGGUGGAUUAGUCUACAUUUACAUUUUAGUGAUUUAGGAGACGCUCUUUUCCAGAGCGACUUACAGUAGUGAAUGCAUACAUUUCAUACCAUGCAUUUUCUUUUUUUUGUACUGGCCCCCCGUGGGAAUCGAACCCACAACCCUGGCGUUGCAAACACCAUGCUCUACCAACUGAGCCACAGGGAAGACUACUGUAACAGGUCUGGGUUUGUAAUGGAUUAGCCUACUGUAACACAAAUGGGUUUGUGAUGGGUUAGCCUACUGUAACACGUCUGCAUGCCGGAGACAGAGAUUCGUUGCAAUCUACACAGUAGUCUUUAUUCAGGAGUUUGUAUUUGUAGAUAUGGAAUUGUCUACCUGAUUUGACUUGCAGAACACCACCAUAUAGUAUGUUUGCUGUAAUGCAGCCCCACGUCAGUUCCCGUGACAUAUUAUGACUUGAGGUGUCUGAAGGUUUGGAUUGUCCUCACCUAUUGGUCAAAUCUUAGUGUGUUUUUAAAUGAAAUGUGAUGUAUUUGACCAAUAAAAGAUAAUUCAGAUGAAAAAUGACUAGACAACA